rnacentral:misc_RNA from 1 species
UGAACCUGCUUCAGAACCCGCACCGGAGCCUCCGGAACUUGAACUUGACCUGGACGAAGAGGAGGAACUUGAUUCAGAACUGGAACCGGAACCAGAACCUGAACCAGACCCAGCCCCAGCCCCUGCCCCUGAGCCACUGCCACUGCCCCCUAAUCCCAGGCCUACUCCGGCUCCAACCCCAAUUCCCACGCCACCAAGGUCCACACCCAAAUCCUUUCUUGCAGUCCGACUCUCAGAUUCAAUGGCUGAAAGGACAAGUAGCAAAGCGAUAAAAGCUAGAGACUUGAAUAGAGCCAUUUUCAUUUGAGAGACAAGAGGGCACAAAAUGUGGAAUAUAUGUAUCGUUCUUCAACGAAAAUCAGCUUACAAGACUUCUGCUGGAGAGACUAAAGAGAGACAUAAGCUAUA